UUUUUCGUAUUCAAAUUACAAGUAUUAUGUGCAGCACCAAUAAACUUUCCUGUUGAGUGAGAGUGAUGUCUGACCCUAUCAAUGAAAUCUAUCGGUUUUGUACAUAAACAACAAGAUUUUUGUUGUAGAUAUGUCUUUUCAUCUUCUGUAGUGAAAUUCAUAUCAAUAAUAGUUUGCAAUUUAUUUUUCAAUAUAACACUAUGUGUUUCUAAUUCAUCUAUGAAAUUAUCAAUCAAUUUCUCAGAUUCCUCCAAGCUAUUAGCCCUAACAAUUUUUGGACCACAAUAUAUCUCUCCUUCUUCAUCUAUUAUCAAAUAACCAUAACCACAAGGUUUGUGAAUGUUAUCAAUAAUCAUGCAUUCAAGAUCUGCAUAUAUAAUGUAUGGUAUGGAACUUUGAGAGUGUAACUAUAAUUCGAGAAUUUCAAAAUCUCCCCUUCUUGUGGCAUUCUAACUCUUUGACAUUUAUUCAAUGAACAUAAUUUUAGAUCUUUUUCUAAAUUAGCAAGAGCAUUUGUCGUUGUGAAUCUAUGUAAACAAUAGGGACAUAUAUCAACUUUUCCAUGAUGUUCUGUUUGAUCAGACAACAAUCUUGAUAAAUUCUUCACUAGAAUAUAAUGCUGUUUUUUUAGGAAAAGAAGAGUUAUUGUAUGCUUCCUUCCUCUAUUCUUUGAUGUGAAUAUGGGAUAUAUAAUAUCCUUCUCAUCCUCAUAACUCAACACAUUAAUACAAAUAUCUACAUUCAAACUCUCAAAUUUUGGAAUGUCUUCUAUUUUUAAAGGGAAUUUCAAAUUAUCAACAUUGACUAGGUGUGAAUAUUUUUGUAGGUCCUUUUAUCUAUUGUUCUUUUGAUCUUCAUUGAAGAAUGAUAGUACUGACCAUAAGAAUGAUUUCUGAUCAUCAUUGAGUAUGUUGACAGUUGCUUUCUUAUUAGCAAGUCUUUUUGGAGUUGGAAUGUACAAACUAGCUGCAUUUGCAAGAGUUAGUCUUGAAAGAUUCCUUAUAUAAAUGAAAUGUUUAUCCUCUAGCAAGAUUAAAUUUAUUUUAUGCAAUCUACUUUGAUAUUCAGAUACAUGGAGUGGGGAGAUAGUGUCACUCUCUUCUACAUAAUCAUAAACAUUUAUACAAAUAUCUACAUUCAAACUCAAAUUUUCGUAUGUCUUCUAUUUUUAGAGGGAAUUUCAAAUUCUCAACAUUGACUAGGUGUGAAUAUUUUUGUUGGUCUGUUACUCUAUUGUUCUUUUGAUCUUCAUUGAAGAAUGAUAGUACUGACCUGUUUCAUCUGAAUCAAAGAUCCGUUUUCCACAUUCAAGUACAUCUAAACACUGUUCUUCGGUACAAUACAUGAGCACAUCUUCAAACCACUGUCUAAUCAUUUGUUCAGUCACACUGGCCCUUGAUUUUGACAGUAGCUCACUAUGAGACUUAAUCACCUCUGGUUGAAGAAACAACUGCAUCCACUUCUUUCCCGGCCGGUCAUCUGUGAAUGGAUUCUGUCUUUUAGCAGCUUAAAGAACUUCUUGAACAGAAUCUUUAACAUCGUCAGGAUUCAUUGGAAAUUCUAAUUUUGCCUUAUCAAGUAUCCAAUCUACCACUCUCUUCUCUUCUGUUGCCAAAAGCGUAGAUUCUGGACCCAUUCUCCAAAUUAUUGGCACCUUAUCUUUCAGCUUGUUAUGCAGCAUGCCUUUGGGGAUGCCAUAACAUUUCGAAGCUUGAUUCAGCAAUUCCUUCUUUCACCUUAUUUCUUCCAGUGCAGUCAGAAGGGCGUCUGUAUUGGAAUCGCUUGUAUGUUUUCUCCAUUGUAUAGCAACAAUCUGAAACAACAUAUAAAUAAUUAAAUGAAUUUUCUUUUCUUGAUUUUUAUAGCACCUAGUUAAAGACUAAUAAGCUAUUCUAUUUUGACUUAAAUUGAUAAGAAUAUUGUUUGUGAAGGUAAAACCCAUUGGUUAAGCCUUCUAUAUUGGUCAAGGAUUAAAUAAAGAUUAUUUUUAGCAUAAAAUGAUACAGUAUUCUGCCUUUGCUCUUCCAAUUGAACACUUUAGCACUAAACUAAUUCGUGUGGCUUUCUGCGUUGUUGUCUUCUUACUCCAUGCACAUUGAGCAGCUGGAUUGCUUCCACGUUCACAUGUUGAUCAAGUCACACUUCUCAUGUUUUUCUGCAAAUCUUUGGAUUUGACUGAUGACUGUCGCCACUCCCAGGUCGUGGUGGAGAUCAGAGUUCCUGAUGUACCAAGGAGCAUCUACACAACUGAGUACUUUAUUCUGGAAGCGCUGGAUGAUGUCGAUAUUGGAUGGUCGGGUGCAGCCCCAGAGUUGAAUUCCGUAGGUCCACACCGGCUUGAGAAUCUGCUUAUAGAGAAGCAAUUUGUUAUAAUUUGACAACUUUGAUGUCCUCCCAAGUAGCCAGUACAUUUUCUUGAAUUUUAUGCCAAGUUGUUCUCUUUCCUUCUUCACAUGCUCCUUCCACCUAAGCUUGGCAUCCAGCGUCAUGCCUAGAUACUUGCAGUGUUGGAGUAGUGUACAAUAUUCUCAUUGAGUGUUAAGGGGAUAUUUUGAACUCUUCUGUUUGUAAAGUUGACUUGAACUGAUUUUGCUUCAUUCAAUUUUAUAAGCCAGUGUUUUGUCCAAACAUUGAUUCUGUUGACUGCCACCUGCAAUUUCCCUGUAGAAACUUCAACAGUUUCACAAACUGAUAAAACUGCUGAUUCAUCAGCAAAUGUUGCUACUGUUAUGUUUUCAGGUUGAGGUAUAUCAGAUGUGUAUAGGAGGUACAAGAGGGGACCCAGCACACUUCCUUGAGGAACUCCAGCCCUGAUUUCUCUGAGAGAUGAAAAAGCAUCAUCUUGUUUUAUCCUGAAAUAACGUUACCUAAUACAAAAGAUGAAUGGAUGGAGGUGGAACGUGGAUUCAAUGAUUUAUGGAAUUUUCCUAACUGCCUGGGCGCAAUAGAUGGAAAACAUGUUGUCAUCCAAGCACCGAGAAAUAGUGGAAGUGACUUUUUCAAUCACAAAUCGCAGUUCAGUAUUGUACUUUUUGCAUUAGUUGACACCAAAUAUUCUUUUAUGUAUGUGGAUGUAGGAUGCAAAGGAAGAAUUUCAGAUGGGGGUAUUUUUAGUAAUAGCACUUUGUAUAAUAAACUGCGACAGGAACAAUUAAAUUUACCACCUCCUUGUAAUUUACCAGGGAGAAAUAAACCAAUGCCCCACGUGAUUCUGGCCGACGAUGCUUUUGCAUUAGACAUAAAUGUGAUGAAACCUUAUGCUGGAAAACACAACUUGGGAAGUAAAGAAAGAGUUUUCAACUAUCGUCUAAGCAGAGCGAGGAGAAUAGUUGAAAAUGUUUUUGGAAUGAUGUCCUCCAUAUUUCGAGUUUUAAGAAAACCUAUGUUACUGGAUAAUGAAAAAGCUCAAAUUAUAACGUUGACAUGUGUUCAUCUACAUAAUUUUCUGAUAAAGUCGCGAACGUCAUCUACACUGUACUGUCCGAAUGGUUUGUUUGAUAACGAAAAUCUGAAUACACGUGAAACCAAUCCAGGAUCAUGGAGAUUAGAUAACACCCAAAUGGGAAAUUUAUAUUCAUUACCACAAAUGAUUAAGAAGUGAUGCUAAAGAAAUCAGGGAAGAAUUUGCAAACUAUUUUAAAUCAGAUGUCAUGCUGUCAUGGCAAGAAACUGUUGCGUAAUCCAACAAAAGUGUACUUGUACUUAAUGUUUAAAGUAGCAG